GAACGCUAGCGGCAGGCUUAACACAUGCAAGUCGAGGGCAGCAUAAACAUUGCUUGCAAUGUUUGAUGGCGACCGGCGCAAGGGUGCGUAACGCGUGAGCAACAUGCCCGUAACAGGGGAUAAUCCAGGGAAACUUGGUCUAAUACCGCAUAAUAUCAAUUAGAGGCAUCUUUGAUUGAUUAAAAUUUCGAUGGUUACGGAUUGGCUCGCGUGACAUUAGCUAGAUGGAGAGGUAACGGCUCACCAUGGCGACGAUGUCUAGGGGAACUGAGAGGUUUAUCCCCCACACUGGUACUGAGACACGGACCAGACUCCUACGGGAGGCAGCAGUGAGGAAUAUUGGUCAAUGGAGGCAACUCUGAACCAGCCAAGUAGCGUGCAGGACGACGGCCCUAUGGGUUGUAAACUGCUUUUAUGCGGGGAUAAAUGAUCCUACGUGUAGGAUUUUGCAGGUACCGCAUGAAUAAGGACCGGCUAAUUCCGUG
rnacentral:rRNA from 1 species